GAUGAACGCUGGCGGCGUGCCUAAUACAUGCAAGUCGAGCGAACGGACGAGAAGCUUGCUUCUCUGAUGUUAGCGGCGGACGGGUGAGUAACACGUGGAUAACCUACCUAUAAGACUGGGAUAACUUCGGGAAACCGGAGCUAAUACCGGAUGAUAUUUUGAACCGCAUGGUUCAAAAGUGAAAGACGGUCUUGCUGUCACUUAUAGAUGGAUCCGCGCUGCAUUAGCUAGUUGGUAAGGUAACGGCUUACCAAGGCAACGAUGCAUAGCCGACCUGAGAGGGUGAUAGGCCGCAUGGGAACGGAGACACGGUCCAGACUCCUACGAGAGGCAGCAGUAGGGAAUCUGACGCAAUGGGCGAGAGCCUGACGGAGCAACGCCGCGUGAGUGAUGAAGGUCUUCGGAGCGUAAAACUCUGUUAUUAGGGAAGAACAUAUGUGUAAGUAACUGUGCACAUCUUGACGGUACCUAAUCAGAAAGCCACGGCUAACUACGUG
rnacentral:rRNA from 1 species